rnacentral:lncRNA from 1 species
GUUUAGCUAACCAAUAAUGAGAAACCCAGCUGAAAGACGGUAAGGUUCAUGGACUCAAGAAAAGCCUUCAAGGACUAGCGAGAAGCCAAAAGGCAAAAUGAGGGCUGGCAGAGAGCUGGAAGCAGAGGUCACCAGCGUGAGUGGGGAAGAAGCGGCAAAGGAGGAAAGCAAUGGAGGAGAGAUAGCACAUGAAAAUGUCACAUAGAGAAAACAGAUGGAUUCAGCUAGGAGAAGGAGAGUGGACAAAACAGUUUAGUGCCUAGAAACGUCCAGAACGAAUAAAGUACAAAGCUCCACCA